GAAGGUGUAUCUAGAAAGACAAAUUAGAGCUUGAAAAGUAAAGCAUUUCAUUUACAUUGAAAAGUAUAUUGUGUGAUUCAAUUUAAUUUGAUAAUAAAAAUUUAUUAAUUUUUUUUGUUUAAAAGUUUAUUUAAUAAAAUUAAUUUUAAAUUAAGUUUUUUUUGUAUAGUAUAUAGAUUAAAUAAUUUAUAUAAUAGUUAAUUAGUAUUGUGAAAGAAUAUUGAAAUAUGUGAAAAAGUUUUAAGUUAAAAGUAAAUUUUAUAUAUUGUACCUUGUGUAUCAGGGUUUAUUAAUUAAAAGUUAAAAAAUUUAAUUUUUCUCGAAUUUAAGAGAGUUAAUUUAUUGUUUGAUUUUUUGUUUCAUAAAAAUUUAAAAUAAUAAAUUAGAAAUGAAAUGUUAUUCGUUCUUGAAUAUAUCUAGUUUUUUAAGAAAUAAAUUAAAUUUAGAUUAUUAAUAGAUAAUUAUUUAUUUAAAUAAUGAAUUAUUAUUAAUAAUUAAUAUUUUAAGGGAUAAGCUUUAAAGUAAGUUUUAUAAUAAUUUUUUAAUUUAAAAAUUAUAGGUUUAGAAAUAGUCAUUAAUUAUAAAAAUGUUAUAAUUUAUUUUAAAUUAAAAAUAAUUUUUAUUAAUUUAAGUUUUUAUUAAAAUAAUUUUUAAAAUUAUAUAAAAAUUAAAAUAAUGAUAAAAUUAGUAUAUUUAAUUGUUUAAAAUAGAUGAACUGAAAGGUUAAAUUAAGGAACUUGGCAAAUAAAUACUCGCCUGUUUAACAAAAACAUGUCUUUUUGAAAAUAAUUUAAAGUCUAAUCUGCCCACUGAAAAAUUUUAAAGGGCCGCGGUAUU
rnacentral:rRNA from 1 species